GGGGAAUAUUGGGCAAUGGGGGAAACCCUGACCCAGCAACGCCGCGUGAAGGAAGAAGGCUUUCGGGUUGUAAACUUCUUUUAUGAGGGACGAAAAAAAUGACGGUACCUCAUGAAUAAGCCACGGCUAACUACGUGCCAGCAGCCGCGGUAAUACGUAGGUGGCAAGCGUUGUCCGGAUUUACUGGGUGUAAAGGGCGCGUAGGCGGGAAUGCAAGUCAGGUGUGAAAUCUAUGGGCUCAACCCGUAAACUGCACUUGAAACUGUGUUUCUUGAGUGAUGGAGAGGCAAGCGGAAUUCCUAGUGUAGCGGUGAAAUGCGUAGAUAUUAGGAGGAACACCAGUGGCGAAAGCGGCUUGCUGGACAUUAACUGACGCUGAGGCGCGAAAGCGUGGGGAGCAAACA
rnacentral:rRNA from 1 species